UACGUAGGUCCCGAGCGUUGUCCGGAUUUAUUGGGCGUAAAGCGAGCGCAGGUGGUUUAUUAAGUCUGGUGUAAAAGGCAGUGGCUCAACCAUUGUAUGCAUUGGAAACUGGUAGACUUGAGUGCAGGAGAGGAGAGUGGAAUUCCAUGUGUAGCGGUGAAAUGCGUAGAUAUAUGGAGGAACACCGGUGGCGAAGGCGGCUCUCUGGUCUGCAACUGACGCUGAGGCUCGAAAGCAUGGGUAGCGAACAGG
rnacentral:rRNA from 1 species